rnacentral:rRNA from 1 species
AAUGAACGCUGGCGGCAUGCCUAACACAUGCAAGUCGAACGAAGGCUUCGGCCUUAGUGGCGCACGGGUGCGUAACGCGUGGGAAUCUGCCCCUUGGUUCGGAAUAACAGUUAGAAAUGACUGCUAAUACCGGAUGAUGACGUAAGUCCAAAGAUUUAUCGCCGAGGGAUGAGCCCGCGUAGGAUUAGCUAGUUGGUGUGGUAAGAGCGCACCAAGGCGACGAUCCUUAGCUGGUCUGAGAGGAUGAUCAGCCACACUGGGACUGAGACACGGCCCAGACUCCUACGGGAGGCAGCAGUGGGGAAUAUUGGACAAUGGGCGAAAGCCUGAUCCAGCAAUGCCGCGUGAGUGAUGAAGGCCUUAGGGUUGUAAAGCUCUUUUACCCGGGAUGAUAAUGACAGAACCGGGAGAAUAAGCUCCGGCUAACUCCGUG